GUCCUUCCUCUUAGGGCUGUUCUCAAUCCACCCAGCUUGUAUUUAUGCUUGGGGUCGCCCUGAGCCACAUGCAGGACCUUACACUUGGCCUUGAAGUGGUUUGCAUGGGCCCAAGUCUCCAGCAUGUCCAUGUCCCUCUGGAUGGUCCCCCAGUGUGUCAGCUGCAUCACAGAACUUUGCGUUCUGUGCCUUGGGUGGUGUAGCCUGAGCUCUUGUCAGUGAAGACUGAGGCAAAAAAAGUUUCUUUCUGGCUCUGGACGUUGGCAUAGGCCUGUAUGGACUAUUCAUACCAUGCACAUUGGCGAGACCUUUUCAUCCUCCCUUUUCACAUCAGUUAUUGUCUUUUGGGGGGAAAAAAGAAGUAAAUCACAGUCUCCAGCCCACUGCUUUGUAGUUCUCACUGCUAACUGCUGCAGGGCUGGGGGACCCUGCUCAGCCAGAUCAAUCCAUGGCAAAAGCCUCUUCUCUGAGGUUGGUGUUAACCUCCCACCACAAACCAGCAGCCCAGCAAAGCUCUUCAGGAUCAUUUUCACCCAUUUUCUUCUCACCUGCUUUAGGCAUGUUGCAGGUUGGACUGUUUUGACAUGGACAGCUUGGACACUGUGUCCCAGCACUUGCUCAUCUCCAGCAGCUGCAUUUUCACCCAGGUCCUGUCCCAGCUGUUCUCUACUGCUCACUACUGCUGCACACAGAACACUGCCAAACCUUUCACCUCCCUGUGCGUUCCUGCAGCCCUUCACCCAUCACCUCUCUCCAAAGGAGCUUCCAGGAUUUCGGCCGUCCCUUGGUAAUCACCUCAGCAGAGUGAACUGAGCCUUAUUCCUGAAAGCUGGUUCUCCAAGUCAUAUGUCUCCGUGUGGUGCUUCCAGCAGUGCCAGUGGAAAGGUUGCUGUGGUGGUUUCAUCAUAAUCCUAGACCCAUGUAAGGGUUUGGGUUGUAAGAAACCUUCAGGGUCCAUUGGAGGGACAGUUUAGUCCAAGCCUGAGUCAGCAGUAAGGACAGGAGCAUGGGCAAACCCCUGAGCCAUCCAGGCUGUUUGUGGGGAAACUGAACUUUCCUGGGGAAGGGCCAGGAGGAGGAUGGUUACUUUAAGGACUACUAUGUGCCCUAGAGGUGGAUAUAGGACACAAUAAGAAUUAAUGAAGAAACUGAUUGGAAACUGAAGCUCAAGCAGCUUUCCAAUAACUCCCUUGGCAAUGGCGUUGGCAGUACCAUGUCAAGGGAUGGGCUUCUAGGAGCUGCUGACAUACUGGACUCCAAGCUGCCAGAAAGAAUGAAGUUGUACAAGUGAGUCAUCUUCAGUACACUGAAGCUUGAAGUUGCAAGCGAGUGCAACCUCUACCAGGGAGCCAACCAAAGUCCAAGGUGAAUGAGAAGGCCCACCAACAGUCAUGGAAAUUCUUCAUGCCACCAAACUACACCAAAUUUUUGGAAGAGAUGGGGCCUUUGGUGAGCCAGGUGUCAGAAGUGGACAUGUCCAACCCUUCCCUGAGGGGUAAGCAGGAGUCAAGCACCAUGCCCACUCAGGACCUGGGCCAGCCCGACUGCAGUGAGCCCAUGUCCAUCAAGGGAAGCCAGAGCAAUGGGCAUCUGGAGAUCCUGGAGGCCUUUGAGUCAGCCAGUAAGCUAUCUGAGAGAGGAGAGGCUGUUCUGGUGGCAGUGAAGAAGAGCUGUUGAUUGGCAGAUAUUUCUGGAGAGAGGAGACAGUUUGCCACUCCAGCAAAUGGCUCUGCCCCCAGCCCAGCAACCUGCUGUUCCUGCACAUCCCUGGAGGCUGCCAGCAGUCACCUUACUGGCAGCACCAGCUGUAUGGAGGACAGGGGGGACAGUGACAGAUUGAGAACUUUGGCAGUUCAGAGUGCAUGGCCAGCCCAAGGAGCCAUGAGCUGACCAACACGGACUCAUUGCAGAUGUUCCUGGAGCUGGAAGAGCAGUGCCUGAGCGAGGAUGAGGGCAGUGGGGCUGUCUCUGGCUACUUGGAGGUUCAGGUGUGGGAGAUGGUUGGGCAGGGCCCCUGCACAGGUGGUGACAGUGGGGUCUACAGCAGAUCCUCACCUAUGAGAAAGAACACUUUUCGUCUGGGCAGAAACACGAUUUCCCUGCUGCUAUAUUUAUUGUCUGAGUAACCUCACAACUUGCGUGACUGAGAGUUCUUCUCCUUCUGGAUGAGAUUGCUGCUGCCUUGAGUGAGGACACUUUUGGAAAAGUAGUGGAACACAUCAAUCACAGAGAGCUUCUGCAGUUCCCAAGCAGAAACUGAUGUGAGGCUGUGAGAUGUGGAAGUUCCUCUGGUAUUAGCCCAGGACAUGUCCGUGGAAAGAGGAGAACGGCAGACACGUGGCUGUGAAAAUAGCAAAAGAUGUUGAUAGCCACUCCAUGGCAGGUUAUAAUGAAGUACAAGUGCUGGACUACUCAAAUGCACUGGGCCCCAGCAGGACACAUUCCUGUGUCCAGAUAAUAGGCUGCUUUGAGUACCAUGGCUAUGUCUGCAUUGUUUAGGAGCUGCUGGGACUCAGCAGGUACAAUUUCAUUGAAGACAAUGGCUUUCUGCCUUUCAGUCUGGACAACAUCAGACAGGUGGCCUAUCAGAUCUGUAAAGCUGUGAGCUGGAGCCAACCAAAGUCCAAGACAAAGGAGAAGGUGCACCAACAGUCAAGGAAAUUCUUCAUGCCACCAAACUACACCAAAUUUUUGGAAGAGAUGGGGCCUAUGGUGAGCCAAGUGUCAGAAGCAGGCAUGUCCAACUCUUCCCUGAGGAAUAAGCAGGAGUCAAGCAGCAUGCUCACCUGGAACCCAACUGCAGUGAGCCCAUGUCCAUCAAGGGAAGCCAGAGCAAUGGGCGUCUGGAGAUCCUGGAUGCCUGUGACUCAGUCUGUAUUCUGUCAGAUAGAAGAGAGGAUGUUCUGGUGGUAGUGGAGAAGGAGAGUUGUGCUUUGGCCUUAAGAUUUCUGAGAUGUUGCUUUCUGGAACAUGUGACAUAUAUAGCAAAGGCACAUGUCAAUGGACUGCCUGGUGCAAGUCCUGUAUUUUUCUCUUUUUCCAGUUCUGUACAUGCAUUAGGCUGCUUUGAGUACCAUUGUUUAUGAGCUACUGGGGCUCAGCAAGUGCAAUGUCAUUGAAAAGAAUGGCUUUCUGCCAUUCAGGCUGGAUGACAUCAGACAGGUGACCUCUCAGGGUCACCACAUCAGUCAGAGUGAUGAUGUCCGAAGUACCAGAUGUAUAGAUUGACUUUCCACAUGGAGUAUGUUCUCAUAUAAGUUGUUGGGGGGCUUUGCAAGUCUUUUCUUCCUGUUUUUGCUUUUUCUAAAUGUGCCAUGAUGAGAGUUGCCAUCUCUCCAAUUGGAUAUUUUCCAUUUAAAGGGGCACAGUCUAGAAGAAUCUGGUACUUUUCUUUGUUUGACAAAACAUCUUCCAACAACAAACAUUGGUCUGUUUGUGGCUGCAUGCUCCCUAACCAGUACAUCUCUGAUGGGAGAUACAUCUCCUGGUGCUUUAAGCCACUGAUGUAAGAGGACAGAGGAAAAAUGCUUUUGUGGAAAGGAGCUUGAAGUCCAAGAACACAAUUACAAAAACAUGUGCUGUUGUUUUCUUCACGAGCAUAUUCAUGGCCUGCUAUGAUGGUGACCUCAUUGAAAAGGUGCUGCAGGGUGACCCAGCAGAGUGCAUUACUUUGGAAGAAGCCCUGAAACAUAUCUUUUUCUUGCCAUUGCAAGAAGUAGGAAAAAGGGCAUUGCCUCCUAGGUGUGAGGAGGCUGACACAUCUGUCAGUCCCCCAGAGAAAUGUAGAAAAUGUUAAAUAUUAGUUGGAUUAAGUUAUUUUUAAAGUUGUUCUAUUAUGUUUUGUCUACUGAAGUUUUACCCAACUGUUGCCAUCAAACUUACUUCAGAAAAAGAUAUUGAUCAACUUGGUUGUGUUUCCUCUGUAAAUGAAGA